GUGUACCACUCGUACUAUGCCGGCUUUGAGUACGCCGUCCGCAGCCACCUGCCAUUGCUCGCAACGUUUUUACAGCC
rnacentral:sRNA from 7 species